GAUUAACGCUGGCGGCGUGCAUAACACAUUCAAGUCGAACGGUGACGGGGCUUCGGCCCCUGAUCAGUGGCGGACGGGUGAGUAACGCGUGAGCAAUCUACCUUCCAGUACGGGAUAACACCCGGACACAGUUGCUAAUCCCGUAUGAAAUGGCAGUACCGCAUGGUGCAACCAUCAAAGAUUUAUUGCUGGAAGAUGAGCUUGCGUCCGAUGAGUUGGUUGGCGGGGUAACGGCCCACCAAGUCGACGAUCGGUGGACGAACUGAGAGGUUGAACGGCCACAUUGCAACGGAGAUACGGUCCAGACUCCUACGGGAGGCAGCAGUGGGGAAUAUUGGGCAAUGGGCGAAAGCCUGACCCAGCGACGCCGCGUGAGGGAAGAAGAUCUUCGGAUUGUAAACCUUAGUCAACAGGGAAGAAGAAAGUGACGGUACCUGUGGAGGAAGCCACGGCUAACUACGUGCCAGCAGCCGCAGUAAGAC
rnacentral:rRNA from 1 species